CGGACUGUAGCAAUACAGUUAGUGGCAGACGGGUGAGUAACGCGUAGAUAACGUACCCCUCCGCUGGGGAUAGCCACUGGAAACGGUGGUAAAACCGAAUAGUCUCUGUGGGUCGCCUGACCUGGAGAGUAAAACUACGGUGUGGAGGGAGCGGUUUGCGUCCUAUCAGCUAGUUGGUGAGGUAACGGCUCACCAAGGCGUCGACGGGUAGCCGGUCUGAGAGGAUGAUCGGCCACACUGGCACUGAGAUACGGGCCAGACUCUUACGGGAGGCAGCAGUGAGGGAUUUUGCGCAAUGGAGGAAACUCUGACGCAGCGACGCCGCGUGCGGGACGAAGCCUUUCGGGGUGUAAACCGCUGUCAGUGGGGAAGAGAAUGGACGGUACCCACUGAGGAAGCCUCGGCUAACUACGUGCCAGCAGCCGCGGUAAGACGUAGGGGGCAAGCGUUGUCCGGAAUCACUGGGCGUAAAGAGCUCGUAGGCGGGGAUGCACGUCCUGGAGUAAAUCCAACUGCUCAACGGUUGGCUCAUCUGGGAUACGGUAUCUCUUGAGGACAGAAGAGGAGAACAGAAUUCCGAGUGUGGCGGUGAAAUGCGUAGAUAUUCGGAGGAAUACCGGUGGCGAAGGCGGUUCUCUGGUCUGAUUCUGACGCUGAGGAGCGAAAGCCAGGGGAGCAAACGGGAUUAGAUACCCCGGUAGUCCUGGUGCUGUAAACGAUGGAUACUAGGUGUAGGAGGUUUUAACCCCUUCUGUGCCGCAGCUAACGCAAUAAGUAUCCCGCCUGGGAAGUACGGCCGCAAGGUUGAAACUC
rnacentral:rRNA from 1 species